UUGAGGUACGUUAAUUGAUCACAAGAUGUGGAGGAAAAGCGUUGGAUUAAUCCCAAAGUGAUGCUGAUGCAUAAACCAGAGGAGUGGAUGAUUUGAUCAAGUACCAGUAUUGGAGAUGCUCAACAAGUGGUCUUCAUCUAACAAACACUAACCUAGUGUUAUUCCAGGCAAGUCCCGGUGCAUUUACCCCUUGUAUUUUUAAAAGACUUUUAUACACUUAAGUCUAGUGAAAUGUGCAUUAAGUUUAUAGGAAUUGCUUGAAAACUAUUUGAUGCAUCGAGUACCUUGAUAUCCAUUCCUAUUAUAGAUACUUCUUUGGAAGUAUCAAAUAUUGUUUACAAAAAUGCUUAGCAUUGCUUAGAUCUUGUGGAUAGAGGUUGUCUUUUGCAAUAAUGCCUAGCUCAGGGGUUAUCCUGAGGAACGAUGGCUUCUACCUGCAAGAAUAUUUUCAUUGGGAGCAUGUGGGAUCUUACUGCAAGGUUCCCUAUAAUGCUCUUUUCAUCCUUAGGAACACAAAACAAUCCUAAUGAUGGAAGUAUUUAAAUCGAGACUUGGGCUAGGAACAGGUGAUGCUCCACCCAAGUUAAUUAAGGAUUGGAUGCGUAUAUAGGCCUGUAUGAUAAAGGACUAUCUUAGCUGGCCACAUGCCCUAGAUAUGGGAUAGGGUAAGCUUGAACCCGGCUAUUCCAUACAUGAAAAGACAAUCACGCACUGGGAGUGGAGAGAUGGCGAGAGUGGCACGUACCAUCCUAGCAAAGGACCUCCUAAAAGGGGUGGUGUGCUCUCGGGUGGCGCGGACCUAUUCAUGCAGUGGAGGAUCCGUGGGAAUGGUAGACAUAUGCAAGAGUUAUGAGAAACAUAUGUCAUGUGGUUAGAGAUCCUCAGCUGAGUAAAUUGAUUCGGAUCGCUGUUAUAUCCCCGGACAGUGGAGACUUGAUCUCUGACCUGCAACCUAGGUCAGUUUGUAAACAUUAUGAAUAAAAAUGAUGUUGUAUUGAUGAUAUGGUGAAAUUAGACUAGAUGCAACCAGAGUCUAUUAAUAUUUAUUCUGGCGUUAAAAUAUUGAAAGUAAGGACUCACUUUAGUAUACUAUUUCUGCAAAAGUAUCUAAGUUGAUUCUUGUUAAAGCCUUUUCCUUGAUUCCUAUUUAACCAGCAUAUCCUUGAGAUUCUUUUUCCUUAGUCCGGUAAGACUUGCGAAAGUACACUUUGUACUUAGAGUUUUCGAACCCAUGUUGUUGCAGGUACUAGAUUUGUGCUGCUAUUGAUGGUGCUAAAUGCCAGUGGGCUCGGCCUUCUUAUAGGUUAAAGUAGCUCUUCUAUACUUCUUAUUGAGAAUUGUCAUUGAGCUAGCAUAUAUUCAAACUUACAAAUAAUUUACAACAUUUCAAAGUAUAUUUCUUUGAAUCACUUUUGUAAU
rnacentral:lncRNA from 1 species